UACGUAGGGUGCAAGCGUUGUCCGGAAUUAUUGGGCGUAAAGAGCUUGUAGGUGGUUUGUCGCGUCUGCUGUGAAAAUCCGAGGCUCAACCUCGGACUUGCAGUGGGUACGGGCAGACUAGAGUGUGGUAGGGGAGACUGGAAUUCCUGGUGUAGCGGUGGAAUGCGCAGAUAUCAGGAGGAACACCGAUGGCGAAGGCAGGUCUCUGGGCCAUUACUGACACUGAGGAGCGAAAGCAUGGGGAGCGAACAGG
rnacentral:rRNA from 1 species